rnacentral:rRNA from 1 species
AGAGCGAACGCUGGCGGCAUGCUUAACACAUGCAAGUCGCACGGGCACUUCGGUGUCAGUGGCGGACGGGUGAGUAACGCGUAGGUAUCUAUCCUUGGGUGGGGGACAACGGUUGGAAACGACUGCUAAUACCGCAUAAUAACUGAGGUUUAAAGGCGCAAGUCGCCUGAGGAGGAGCCUGCGUACGAUUAGCUAGUUGGUGGGGUAAAGGCCUACCAAGGCGACGAUCGUUAGCUGGUCUGAGAGGAUGAUCAGCCACAUUGGGACUGAGACACGGCCCAAACUCCUACGGGAGGCAGCAGUGGGGAUAUUGGACAAUGGGCGAAAGCCUGAUCCAGCAAUGCCGCGUGUGUGAAGAAGGUCUUCGGAUUGUAAAGCACUUUCGACAGGGACGAUGAUGACGGUACCUGUAGAAGAAGCCCCGGCUAACUUCGCGCCAGCAGCCGC